GGCGGCGGGUCAAGACGUGCCCGGGAAGCAACGAGAAGGGGGGCCAAGUAUUUGAACAAGCGCGUCUUACUAAUUGAGCCAUUCGCUGAUCCUUCUCGACCAAUUCUGGAACCCUCCAGAUCUGGCCCUCGCCUUCCACCGCCCAGAAUUUGUCUUCAAGUCACUAUUUAUUCAGGGUUUGUCGUCGAUAUUGUCGCAAUUGUAGGUUGUUCUGGAACUUGUUGAUAGCCCCAGAGUCUGGCCGCUGGGUUUUCAGUGUCGCGGCGUGACAGCGGUUUCACGCUGUGGCGGAGAACGUUUUGGAGUUUUUAAUUCGCUCAAAGGAUCGACGUGCAUCAUUUUACAGGCUCUUUGCACUUUCGUCGACUUACUUCGUUGCGGUUUCGAGUUUUGUUAGUUGAUUGGUGGGUGGUGUUGGUGUGAUGCUUCAACGAUGGGUUCAUGGUGAUUGGCAGACAAAGGAGAUGGUGACGGAUGUGGAGAGGGUGUGGAGUUGGGUUGUGAAACUGAGUCGUCUGCGCGAGGGUGGAUGAGCAUUCUCGAUCGGACAGAUUACACAACAGGCUCAUCUGAAACCUUACUGAGUUGGGUUUUGGUUCUUCCCUCGUUUUGCGUUGGGAUGGUAUGCGUUUGCGUUAAGGGUGGUUCGGGUUUGUCUGACAGUGCAUAACUGCGUGUCGCUGGGAAUUUGCGUGGGACGUAUGCAAUGGCGGGCUUAAGCAGUCUUAGAAAUGACAUCCAUGGGCUGCACGGUGGGAGAUACCCGUCUCAGAGGCUAAUUUCGAGGAACUCUAAACGGUUAUUUGUAGUUUUGGCUUCACAUCUGCCAUGUUUUCUUGACGAGGCUACAAAUAUAUCAACCGAGUUCUUUGUUGAAUUUCCUCUGGAUGGCAGACAUCAUAUCUGCGAAGAGGCUUCGGCAGCGACCAUGGGCUGAACUGGGAUGGCCAAAUGGAGUAAUUUAAUUCGCUUGUGGUCCCCCCUACACACAUGUUUCAGAAGGCCUUCAUGUACCUCUGUUUGAUUUUUAUUUAGAGAUGUGACCACAUUUUCUGCAGUGAAGUUGUGGGUUUUUGAUGGCUUUGGAUGGCAGCGGAUCAGGUAGAUCUCUGAUCGAAUGACGGAUCGAGUGACUACCAGCAGUGGACGAUAGGCAUACCGAUUUCGAACUGGGAAAAAUUCAACAGGCUAUGUGGAUUCGAUUCUUUUGGAAUUGGCUUUCUUUUCCCUUGCAGAUCAUUUCAUUCGUUCGGUUUCAGUGAGUCCACUUGCAAACUGCUGCAUCCAGGCAGCGGGUUCCUACACCACGACUCUGUGGUUAUUAUCCGAUGUGGGUAGAGUUCAUUUGGCAGGCGUGGGUGGAGCAUUCGGGGUGUCUGGAUUCGCGCAUGAUUAUAUCGAAAACUGUGAACUUUGAAAUCCUUAGCAUACCUUGUUUAAAACUUAUCGUUUUUAAAUGACGAAUCACUUCCCACUGGUCUGUGCGUCAUUGAUGGUCCUGAAUGGCAGUGAUUCAGAUCUCCAACGGCAUCUGAAGAAAAGAUACUAAAUCAAAUAUUGACAGUCGAGCGUGUGGAGUAUUUUAAUUCGGUUGAAGACCAAACUCGAAUAGAUCGUCAACCUAAGGCUUUUCAUAACCCUUUAGUUUCAUCGGAAUUGAGUGCAUGCUUGCGCUGUUCAUUUCAUGCACAUGUCUUCUACAGCCGUUCACCAGUGAACUAUAAUUUAUUGGCAGUGAAUCUCGACAUCAAGACGGAAUGGGAAAUUUUCGCUGGAUGGAUGGUUUCUCGUGCAACCCCAAGUGGAGCAUGUGGAGUUAUUUAAUUCGCUUACGGUGUUUUCUUCAUACAGGAGUUCUUGUAACCUUUCACUCUGUUAGGUUUUUCAGUCUAUGAUUAAACAAAGAACUACAUUCUACAGGAAAGUCGUUCAAAUAUUUCUGAUGAUUCUGUAUGGCAGUGGCCGAAAUCCGUGCUGAUGCCGCAGUUAAAGUGCUCAGAUAACCGAUGGUUGUGGAGGGUGAAGAAUUUUAACUCAACUCGUGAUCAACAUUAAGUCAAUCAUCAGUUGACAUGCUCCUGAGACCUUCGUUUUCUCAUGGGUUGUGGGUGUAUGCUGGCACUGUUUUGCUGGAUGUGCUGAUUUCCUAUUCAGUCGUUCACCACUGCUUCUCGUGCGGUUGACAGUGGACGUUUUCUCAUCAGCUCAAGGAGCUACUUUCGUCGUGGAGAUUCUCUUGAGAAAAACAGGAUGGAGUUUCUGGAGUAUUUUAAUUCGCUCAUCGACCAGUCUUCUCCCAGGAGUUUUUGCAACCCCAUCGCACUCUGUUUGACCCUCCAUUGACAGAAAUAUCCUUCGCAGUGAACUAGUUUACAUACUGUUGAUGGUUUUGAUUGGCAGUGAGAAGAGUCUUCUGCUCCGGAGGUAGAGGUUAAGAGUUUCUCUGCACGAGAAAGGUGAACGGAGAAGUUUAACUCAUUUACCGAUUAAGAUCGAACGCGUCGUCAACCCGCAGGCUACCUGAAACCCUCUCUUUUCUCUGGGAAUUUUGUGUAUUAGCGCUGUUCUUUUGAUGUGUUUAUUCUCUGCAUAGAUUUUUACCCUUAGUCUCCCUCUGGGUGACAGUGAAUGUCUACGUACUAUUUCAAUGAGCGAUUCACACCACGUGGGGAGUAAACUAUCCAGACUGGGAUGGAUUCUUUGGAGGAUUCAAUUAAUAAUUGGAUCCGGUGAAAUCUGAACAUGGGAGUUGUUAUCUUUACUUUGACUUCUCGUUUUCUGGCUAUUUUUUGUAUCAUGAGCCGUUCGUAUUCUUCAACGCUGUCAUUUAUUAAUGAUGGUUUUCUAUAACAACGUUGUAGAACCUCAACUGUUUCGAUGACAGGUUUGGAGUAAAAGUUGGUUGUGAAUGCCAUCUGGAGUAUUUAAAGUUGACUUCAGCAUUAAUUCGCAUGUCUUCAUUCAACAGGCAAUCUGGAACUCUUAAAUUCUUUGGAUGUUAAGGGUCAGCACCGUCAUUUCUUGUUUAUCCCUGGAAGGGCAUUCGCCAGUGACCUAAUUUUCAUGCUAAUGAAUGUAGUUGACGUCAACUUAUUCGAAGUAACCACUUGGAGCAAUGUGCGUUGGACAUUUGAAGUAUUUUAAUUCGCUCAAGAUUGAACCUGCACACAGGAGUCUCCCACCCUUUCGAAUUGUUACGGACUUUCUUCAUUUCUAUGACCCGUUCUCCACAGAAAUGGUUCAUGUAUUUGUGAUGAUUCUGGUUUGCAGUGAUUGGCAUUCUCCUUUAAGAAGCCAUCCAUUUGUUACUUGCUAAUUAUGAAGGGACGGUGGAGACAUUUAAUUUGCAACUCCAAUCCGUCCGAAACGACAGGGCAUAUGCAACCUUUUCUUACAGUUUUCACUUUCAGUCAAUUGGGUACUUGUUCGCGCUGUUCCAGUAUUGCGUCUGUUUCAUGUGUAUGCGUUCACCAGUGAACUGCAAUUGGUUGGCAGCUAUUGUUUACACACCGAUGAUAUGGAAAAUCGACGCUAUGGAGUGGCAUUAGUAAACAGCCUUGGGGUCGACAAGCCCGAUUAGUAUAUUCGCACGCGCUUCUAUCUGCAUAGAGGAGUUUCACUCAAACCCUUUUCUACUCUACUUCGGUCCCUUCUCUUUUUCUGUGAACCACUACAUAGUUCAUAGGUUCAAACAUUGUAGAUGCUUCUGUGUGGUAGUGACCCAAUCUUUACAAUGUCCUGCUGACGAAGUGUUCAUAUAUUCGUUGAAAUUGGAGCAUGUGGGGAGUAUUUUAAAUCCAUUGAAGAUCGAAGCCGCAAUAAUCGUCAGUCUACAGGCUAUCUAAACCCUAUUUCUUUUCCAAAGUUUGAGAAUGCGGGUGCGUGCGUACCUACUGCAUGCCAACAAUUGUUACUCUCGCAACUCUCAUUACAAGCACGUUUCAAAAGCGUCAACUUUAUUUAAACAACCAUUUUGCUUUUUCAUGAUUAUUUUACUCACAUGCAGGCAUAUCUGUCAUGGACUUCUGAGCGGCGGUUGAAUCUCUGAAGGAUGUUUGGUUUCUGGUUUGUGACCAUUUGAUGCAGACCUUGGACAUGAGAUCUUCAACUAUAUGGAUAUUUUAUUUUCCACAUUUCUCCUCCGUUAAAUGUUCAGGUUUCGUGGAUCGCUAUGUUUGUAAUUUGCUUGAUUUGAAUUUUUGUUUGAUAUGAUUUGGAACAAUUCUGGUUAAUUUUUUGUUUGUUACAAUUUUGCCAGUAUACACCUUAUUCACUAUAUACGACUUGCUACCUGUAUCAACUUGUUUAUUUGUUCAACGUUAGUACCUACUGACUGCUGCAGACCACAUCUUAUUAGAUUAAUUAAUGUAGCAGCGUUCAUGAAGUCAUCGUUAGCAGAUAGGAGGGGAGUGAUGAGCAUGGAGUAUUAUUUUCCAACUGCGAGCGAGGCUGAGCUUUCCCUGAACUGUUGGUGGACACUUGAACCCCUGGAAAAGGAGGCCUGCUAAAUUUCUCAGCUGGUGAUUACGUAUACACAUUCAAAGCAAAAAUUAUUAUAAUGAAGAAAGUGCCUGAUAGACUCCUGAAAAGGUGAAGAAACGUGUACGCCAGUACAAUCCAUUACCUAUCCGGAAAAUUCCUACUAAACUGUUUUUGAACAGUUUCGAAGUUCGAUCGUACAUUUACGCACAUUUGCGAACAAAUUACAUCGGAAGUAGCGACAACAUGUUUCGCACAACACUGAUGUUAUAUUCACUAGUCUGAAAUUAUUUUAGAUAUUAUUGUACACUUUUCAAUUCUGUUCAUAAUUGAAAAAAUUACAUUCCCAUUGAAA